UUAUGGCUCAGGAUGAACGCUAGCGACAGGCUUAACACAUGCAAGUCGAGGGGCAGCAUGGGGGUGGCAACACUCCCGAUGGCGACCGGCGCACUGGUGAGUAACACGUAUGCAACCUGCCCCCCGCAGGGGGAUAAACCAGGGAAACUUGGCCUAAUACCGCGUACGGCCUGACGGGGCAUCCCGUUGGGCUGAGAGCUACGGCGGCGGGGGAUGGGCAUGCGGCGCAUUAGCUGGUUGGCGGGGUGACGGCCCACCAAGGCGACGAUGCGUAGGGGUUCUGAGAGGAAGGUCCCCCACACUGGUACUGAGACACGGACCAGACUCCUACGGGAGGCAGCAGUGAGGAAUAUUGGUCAAUGGGCGGGAGCCUGAACCAAGCCAAGUCGCGUGAGGGAAGACGGCCCUACGGGUUGUAAACCUCUUUUGCCGGGGAGUAAUGUCCGGGACGUGUCCCGGAGUGAGAGUACCCGGAGAAAAAGCAUCGGCUAACUCCGUGCCAGCAGCGGC
rnacentral:rRNA from 1 species